rnacentral:rRNA from 1 species
GUGUCAGCCGCCGCGGUAAUACGUAGGUGGCAAGCGUUGUCCGGAUUUACUGGGCGUAAAGGGCGUGCAGGCGGUUUGUUAAGUCUAGGGUGAAAGCUCCCGGCUCAACUGGGAGAGGUCCUUGGAUACUGGCGAACUUGAGGGAUGCAGAGGAAAGUGGAAUUCCCGGUGUAGUGGUGAUAUGCGUAGAUAUCGGGAGGAACACCAGUGGCGAAGGCGGCUUUCUGGGCAUUUCCUGACGCUGAGACGCGAAAGCGUGGGGAGCGAACCGGAUUAGAAACCCGCGUAGUCC